UUGCACCUAUAUCAUAGGGCCCACUUAUUUGUGUAGUGGGUCUUGAGCUAGGCGCAUAGAGAGAAUCUGUUCUUGCAGAAGCGGCCAGACAACCGCAGAGAUGAAUCCACUGGUGAAUGGCUUAAUUUGCUGUUCAUCUACUGAUUUCAUCUCACAUUU